GAAUUCUGAAGAAGUUCUAUAUGGGCAGGUCAACUGAUGAUUGUCUCUGGAUGUCCUGUCAUUAAACCCAAGACGAAGUUCGCUGUAAGGACAUUGGAGGAACUCACAUGUAUAGAUCUUCUGAUCCAUCAUCAUGUUCAAAUCACUGGUUGGUUUCCUCUUUCGCAUAAAAUCCAAGUUUGUAGUAACCUCUCCUUUCAUUGCAUAAGGUGGUUGUCGAAGGGACACCCGAUCUCUCAUUCUGUCAAUCCCUAAGUUGAAUGAGCUGUGAUUAUCAGGUUUACGAUCUUGCACAUCAAAGCUCGGUUCCUCCUCAGCACCUUCUACAUCAUAUUCACUACAAUCGUUAAUGACCAACAAUCCAUUGCCCCCAGCGGAAGACAAAGGCGGGCAAGAAUCAGGAUAAAGCU
rnacentral:lncRNA from 1 species